CCUACGGGGGGCAGCAGUGGGGAAUAUUGGGCAAUGGACGCAAGUCUGACCCAGCAACGCCGCGUGAAGGAAGAAGGCUUUCGGGUUGUAAACUUCUUUUAAGGGGGAAGAGCAGAAGACGGUACCCCUUGAAUAAGCCACGGCUAACUACGUGCCAGCAGCCGCGGUAAUACGUAGGUGGCAAGCGUUGUCCGGAUUUACUGGGUGUAAAGGGCGUGCAGCCGGAGAGACAAGUCAGAUGUGAAAUCCACGGGCUCAACCCGUGAACUGCAUUUGAAACUGUUUCCCUUGAGUGUCGGAGAGGUAAUCGGAAUUCCUUGUGUAGCGGUGAAAUGCGUAGAUAUAAGGAAGAACACCAGUGGCGAAGGCGGAUUACUGGACGAUAACUGACGGUGAGGCGCGAAAGCGUGGGGAGCAAACAGGAUUAGAUACCCUAGUAG
rnacentral:rRNA from 1 species